UUGAUCCGCCUAGCUCCGCACCGAUACCUCGGAUGACUCAUGUUGACCACGUGUUUUUGCGGUAUAUUGCAUGUUAACGAUUACUACCGAACAAUCCCGAAAGAGUUUCUGAAUCAUCGAAAAAUUUUUCCUUCAGCCAUCUUGAAAUUGUAAAGAACCCGGCUUGGUGCGGUAGAAGAAAUCCCUGUUAUCCUUUAUAACAAUUCGAUCUAUUGACACAAGAUGGGCUCCUGGGAUAGUUACGUGGAUGUCUUGAAGGGGGAUGGAAGUACAAUGCUAAAGUGUGGGAUAUACGACCAAGAAGGAAACCCCUGGGCUCUCUCCGCGGGAAUGAGCGCAACGCAAGCCCAAGUGAAACGACUCGCGUCACAUUAUGAGGACAGUUCAGAUUUUUAUAUCAAUGGGCCUGAAUUCGAGAAUUCCAAGUUUGCUUUUCUAAAGAAAGUGGAUGAUGGAGGAUUCCCUGUGCUGGUCUUCAAGCGCAAGGAUGCGGAUAACGAAGAGGACAAGCAUUUGUUGGUGGUAAUGAACACAAUAAAAGCGUGCUUAGUAGGAGUAGCCAAAGGUGGAGAGAAACACAAAAGCGUAGCAAUCAACUUAAUUAGGCAUGUGAACGAUGCAAUGCGAAAGUAUAAUUAUUGAGAGAGUACCAGCUCUAGCUAGGAAUUUUUUUUCAAAAAAGUGCUACAUUAUCACUUGAACUUAUUAUUGUCUUAACAACAAAUUACAGCAAGGCCAAUCUUUAAUUUUUUAUGAUUCUAUGAUUUAUAGAAUGUAAAGCAGUUUAUUAUUAUUAUUUUUAAUGCUAUGUUAAUCAUGAUGUAUAAGGGUAUUAUGGAAUUUAAGGUGAGAGAGUUGGACAUUUUUUACAGGAUGUCUGGAUGACUCAAAAAGUCAGAUGUUGUCAGUUCAAAAAGUGCUCUUCCACCCCCCUUUUUUUGGUCCCAAAGUGAUAGUGUUAUGUAUGCAAAGUUUGUGACAUAUCAGUGUAGUGGAGAUUGCAUGGAUUUCAACAGCAGAUAGUAGUGUGAAUCACAUACAGUUCAUUGUUUUAUUUUAUAUGCAUUUAAUUUUUUCACUUGAAAAGAAACAAAAAAUUAUUCUCAUUAAAUGUAGUAUAUAUGUGAUAAGUAAAAAAAAAAAAGGGCAGUGUAUAUUGCCCUAGCUAUCAUUAUUUGAGGUUGUAUUUCUCCAUUUUUGUUUGAUAAUACAUAUACCAGGGGAGCUUGCACUUACAUUCUUUUUUUUCUUUUUUAUGUAUGUUGUCAUAUAAUUAUUUACUUUAGUAUAUGAAAUUUGGGACAGUGCAUCAAUAAUGAUUGUGAUUAAAUCUUUUACUUUUAGUUUAUUAUAUUAUUAUUUUUUUUACACACUAAUAAAGGUUGUACACUUGUAUAAAUCCAAUAUUACAGAAGGGUUGUACUUUUGACAAGUAUAGGCAACGGUUUUUUUUCUUUAAAGGCAUCCAUUUCUGCUUGUUGUUUACCUUGCAGUUCUAUUUUUAUCAUUUGGUAGACUGUAGUGUAAGGGUUGCAUGUUAUGGCAACCAUCAAUGUCAAAAUCCUAGCUGCUCUGUCUGAUGGAACAACCACCAAGUGGUGCAUUCUUAUGCUUGAGGGGGGAGCAAGUAUUGCGUUCUCCAUCACCGAGAACACAUUAAGGAUCGAGAGUUAACCCGGCGUGGCAUUGUGGGUAUUAAACCCAAAAAACCAGGUUGUGUUGGUACUCGGUAAUUCACCAGCGAUUGGAAUUCCACGAGAUCCAGGGGCUUUUCAUUAAAGUAUUAACCUUUGGGCAUAGAAAUUUUACAUUGGAAGCUAUGCACUAGCAUAUAUUUUUAUUGGUGGUAAAAUUGUGUUGUCGUUAUUUUUUUUUCUCACAUUUGAUAUUAUUUUUAACAUGAAUGGUGCAUAUUUUCACCAAAGAAAAAAAAUAUUACUACGUGCAAAAUUUUGUUCAUUAAUGUUCUUUCAUACAUUUAAACAUUUUUGUUUGUGAUGGGGUUUUUUGCCUUUGUUGGUUGUUAAAGCUUACCUGGGCUAGUUGCCUACGAUGACUUAUCUCAUCAAAUUAUGUCAGUCAUUACAUUCAAAAGUAUGUAGCUAUACUAAUUGCGAUAGUAUUUUGUGAGCUUUUAUUCUCAAUUUAUUCAUAUUUUUUCCCCCAAGAUUAUUGAAAUCGAAAUUUGUCAUGGUUGACUUCAAAUUAUGAGCAGAACUUAAAUGAAUAUCCUUCUGGUGAGCUUUGUGAUCAUUGGCUUAUAUUUUUGAAUUACUAUAGAUCUGAAGAGAGUUAUCAGAGAGAAAGUGAUAAAUUUUUUGUUUGUUAAAGCUAAUUUUUUUCUCUAUGUUUAUCCAUUGUAAUAUUUUUUGCGCACAUUUGGGCAUCAUGUGGAAGAUAUGCCAAUUUGCAUAAUUAUAGUAUAUUUUUAUUUAGCUAUUAUUAUUUUAUUUGAUCUGAAACAUAUGCUGUUGUUCCCUUUACUUGCUUUUACAUUUUACUUCUGAGAGUGAAGUCUUUCUGUGUAAUAUCUUUUCUUUUUUUUUUUAGCAUGCACUGUAUUAGGCCAUGACAUUUAGCUUGGAAUUCUCUCUUAUUUAGUAUUCUGCUAAGAUACCUGUGUAUGAAGAAUAAUUUUGGACUUAAACACUAACUGUUAUAAAGUUCUUCAAAACUGUGUAACUGCUUCUUUGUGAUUUUGUAAAUACAAACAGCAUACUUUUAUGUUAGCAAAAAAGAAAUUAAAUGCUUAUAGUGCC